rnacentral:rRNA from 1 species
UUGUUCUUUAAAUGGGGACUUGUNAUCAACGGCACCACGAGGGUUAGACUGUCUCCUUUUUCAAAUCAGUGAAAUUAAUCUCCCCGUGAAGAAGCGGGGAUACUCAUAUAAGACGAGAAGACCCCAUGGAGCUUCAAACCCAACUACACCCCUAGCUCUUAUAGCCCCACAACCCCCCCCCCUAG